rnacentral:misc_RNA from 1 species
CAAGGGUUCGAAUCCCUUAGCUUACAC